ensembl:lncRNA
UUUGGUUGCUCAGGUGAUUCUGCAGAGGCUCCUGCUAAAGCGCCACUUCCUCCUCCUCGUCUGAAGAGGGCGCCAUCAGGACAGGAUGUGGAGAGCCUCAGCAGCAGCCCUGCGGGACAGGACGGUUGGUGUCUUUACCGUCUUCUCAAUACAAUUAGCAUUUGUAUAAAGUUGUAAAUGUUUCCAACAAAACUUCUUCAGAAGUCUGUUUUUCAUCUUUUUAGAAUAUUACUGUAAAGUAAGUUUCAGAUAUCAUUUCUGCAGGUAGAAACCUUAAGACAAAAGGAAGAAAAUGGAACAUUUAUUGUUUAUUUCAGAUCGGGAUAGUUCUUUUCUACAUUCAGAUGUUUGUCCAGAAGGUGGCGCCAUAACGGAGCCGCUCAGUCCCGUGUUUGCGGGCAGCAGACGGUGGUCGUCUCUGAAGAGAUCGUCCCUUUCUGCUGCUGCGACUGACAGUCGAGAACGAGCCAAGUCCCUCCCCACAUACGUGAUUCGUCCAGAAUCAGAUCUGGAUGAGGGGGAGGAGCUUCUGCCACCGACUGACAGCAAAUCAGAGGACGAAUGCGAGGACGACUGCGAGGACGUUUUGUCAGCCUGAGGAACCAAACGAGCCGCAGUCGGGUGUCGUAGGCGGACCUUCAUUAACCCAUGACCUUUCAGGAUCUGGAGCAUUCUACUGUCAGAAAAUAAGCAAACAUGAAAGUUAAGCUCAGGAUUUUCAAUAAUAAUCAGAUUUUAACGAAAAAUGUGCAAAGUUUGCUGAAACCCGUGGACUCGUCCAUCAGGGUCAUGUGACCGGCUGAUGAGUGGUGUGCUGCUGCACUUCCUGGUGUAUAAAUAUGUUUGAAGCUGAGGUUCUUUUUUUUAACUAAAUAGGAUUUGUAUCGAUCGCUGCAACCUGAGCAGAAAUAUACAGGUGACGGUUUUUAUUCUGGAUGCUUUUGACAUUUGUUUGGGCCAGUUUCUGAAAUCCUGCUUAUUGUUCCUGUUGUAUUUUUUUUUACCGCUAUUAAAAGAAUUAGACUCCUCAGAAUCUCGUGCAAAGCUGUUUUUAUCUGAAACUGAGGCUUCAGCCAGGAUUCCACCUGCCGACAGCUGGGCCAGGGUCCUGGUGUGACUGGAGGGGGACCAGAACCGGCAGCUGAGGUCAGAAUGCUGCAGAUUGGGGUUGGCGUGACAACAGACACCAUGUCAUUCAUAGGACAUCCUAGUAGGAGUGGUUUUCUCCAGCUUCCACACCUGUGUCGGCCCUGGCAGCCACCUGCGCUCUGAUUGGAGGACAUGAGGUGGUCCAGCUCUGAUCAGAACUGCAUCCAAGCUCUUCACAUGGUGGACUUGGCAGCUCCUGAUGCUUUUAGAGGAUUAAUCAACCAAAAGUCCCAUCAUGCAUCACAGGCAAUGAGGACCGUGGGGUGGCAGCGCCGCCUCCGUCAGCUCAGAUCAUGUGAUCAGCAGAAAGCGCUGACAUCAGCGACCUUCACCUUCAUCCUCCGCUAGAUGUCUGCAAUUCUUCAAAGCUGAACAUUUCCUUCCUUUCAUGUGCUUUGAUCUUAUUUCCGACCUAAUUCUGGGUCAUGCGCUCUGAUCAGGUUCCUCCUGUCUGUCCAUUGUUCUGAUUGGUCGACGGGGGACAGCCAACAACAGUGGUGAACGGUGAGAAGGAAGCAGCCAUUCUCCUCCACUGUGGAUCAAAUUCCUUAACUUUCCUCAGUUCUUCGGAACUUUCCUGCUUUUUAUCCGCCUACUUGCUUUCCUGGAAGGUCAGAGGUCCAGACGAGAUGCCGCAGAAAGCCAACAGACCUUUCUUGUCCUCCACGUAGAUGAUUCACCUGUGGAGGAGCAGCAGGAUGAGUGGAGGUCGUGGAGGAGGUGAAGUGGUGAAGCUGCAGCUGCAGUGCUGAGGUGGCAGGUAACAUCUGCCACAUCAGCAAGAAUCUGACAGAGAUCCAUGAUGGGAGAGAGGGAUGGAGGGAUGAAGAGAGGACAGACGGGCUGGUUAUACUGGGACAGAGGACAGACGGGCUGGUUAUACUGGGAUGGAGAGGACAGAUGGGCUGGUUAUACUGGGACAGAGGACAGAUAGGCUGGUUAUACUGGGACAGAGGACAGAUGGGCUGGUUAUACUGGGACAGAGGACAGACGGGCUGGU